GAUGAACGCUAGCGGCAGGCUUAACACAUGCAAGUCGAGGGGUAACACGGGUGCUUGCACUUGGUGACGACCGGCGAACGGGUGCGUAACGCGUAUAGAAUCUGCCUCAUACAGGAGGAUAGCCUUUAGAAAUGAAGAUUAAUACUCCAUGGUCUUAUUGGUUGGCAUCAAUUAAUAAGUAAAGAUUUAUUGGUAUGAGAUGACUAUGCGUCCUAUUAGUUAGUUGGUGAGGUAACGGCUCACCAAGACAGCGAUAGGUAGGGGGUCUGAGAGGAUUAUCCCCCACACUGGUACUGAGACACGGACCAGACUCCUACGGGAGGCAGCAGUGAGGAAUAUUGGACAAUGGGCGAGAGCCUGAUCCAGCCAUGCCGCGUGCAGGAAGACUGCCCUAUGGGUUGUAAACUGCUUUUAUACAAGAAGAAACCUACUUACGUGUAAGUAGUUGACGGUAUUGUAUGAAUAAGCACCGGCUAACUCCGUGCCAGCAGCCGCGGUAAUACGGAGGGUGCAAGCGUUAUCCGGAAUCAUUGGGUUUAAAGGGUCCGCAGGCGGUCGAUUAAGUCAGAGGUGAAAUCUCACAGCUUAACUGUGAAACUGCCUUUGAUACUGGUUGACUUGAGUUAUAUGGAAGUAGAUAGAAUAAGUAGUGUAGCGGUGAAAUGCAUAGAUAUUACUUAGAAUACCGAUUGCGAAGGCAGUCUACUACGUAUUGACUGACGCUCAUGGACGAAAGCGUGGGGAGCGAACAGG
rnacentral:rRNA from 1 species